GUGAGCACCAUCCCACCACUAUUCUUCCCCGGCCCCAGGCAAGGCCAAAGUGGAGCCCCAGCUGAAUCCAGUGUGCAGAUUUCCAGCCCGCAGAACCCGUUUCAUCCCACCCUGUCCCCUAAGAGGCACGGUCCACGGCCAGCUGGCGCCCCUGCUGGGAGGUCUGGUCCCAGACGCUCGGCCCUCGCUCCUCCCAAGUCUGAGUUCCCGCUCUGCAGGGCCCCUCGGUGCGUCUGAGUGUUCCGUCUGCUCCCUCAGCCAGAGGAACGGAGGCCGCUCCCUGGACUUGCUGCCUCUGUCCCAUCUCAGGGGUCUCCUUUUACCCCCUUCCGUUACUAGUUUAGUUAACAGCUUUAUACGGUGUUUUCUGUUAAAUGCUCUCUGUUCCACGCCUCUCCUCUUCCCCCACCCCCACGCCAAGUGUUUCUGUUUGUAGUAGGAAAAAAGGAAGACAACUCAGUCUUGAUAGGGAAGAGUGAACAUUGGUGGAGAGAGAGCUGACAUCACCCGGCUGUCAAGCGGACGGACGUGCCCCGUGUCCACUCCACCCCUGUCUUUCCCAGUUUCCUGAGCCCCAGGUUCCCCUUUGUGUUUAAGCAAGUAUGAGUUGGGUUUCUGUCACGUUCGACUGAGAGAGCCCUGACUAAUAUGGCUGAGGCGAAGCGUCUCGGAACUGAGUCGUCUAGAGUCAAGGCUAGAGGAAGCUUACCCAUGUCCAAGAUCACACAGGCUGAAAUCACCUCGCUGGUGGGAAGGGCUGCCAGACAGCAGGAACCAGCUCCCAUCUUCGGACCUGCCCUAGGAAAGGACAUUGGGGAAAUUGAAACCAGAGAAGAGUGACUUCUCCAAGGUUACACUGCUAAUCCCCUGCAAGCCCAGGAUUACAACUCCAGUCACCUGACUUCCAGUCCAGUCCAUCUCCAGAGCCAUUCUGUGGGCAAGAAUCCUGAAAGGUCCAAUGACACCUCCAUAGGGAACACCAGAGUUUGGCUUCCCAGCCCUACCACCGUCCCCAGCACUGCCUCCACAGCCCUGAGGAAGACCCGACUCCUGGAGGGAGACUGGCUUACUGGCUUCAGUGGCCUGCACCAGCCCAGACAGGUCAAAGAGCAGGAUUCCAAGCAGUUGAGAUGGUCUCUGGAGAAGCCUGGAAUUUCCCUGUGACACAGAAGUGGCAGAAAGAGGUAGGGUCUCCAGGCAGCCAGGGCCAGGGGUCACCAGCACCCCAGGUUCCCUUGGUAUGUGGGGCACUUCUCAGGGUGGGAAGGGGCCCCCAUCUGUUUGGUGAACCUGGCCAUUGGUUCCUGAAUCUCUGCUUGCAAGGAGCCUGAGGGACUCAUGUCCCAGGAACACCGAGUCAUCACAGAGCAUUUACAUCCAAAAUCCAUUUUCCUUCAGAACAGUGCCCGGGAUGGAGUAAGUGAAGGUGAGCCUCUACACACUGGUAAAUCUGUGAUUUGUCUGUACGAUAACUGGGCCUUUAGAACUGACAAGGGGGUUUCCUAUAUGAUUCUUGCAAGAGAGCUCUGCAGAGUUCCUGGAAAAUCCCCUAUCAGACACUGCCAGGAAACAGGGCUUCCCCAGAAGUGACAGUGGUAGACAACCAUUCCAAAAAGACCCUGGGCUCCUCGUCUGAAACACAGGAAAUUAGGAAAGGUGGUUCUGUAAGGCUGUAAGCUUGGUAUUUCCCAUGAAGAUGCUCUAAAGUGAUCUCAAACUCAGUGUAUCAGCACAGACAAGAUGACCCUGCGUUUAUCUGUUUAGCUGCCUUGUUCUUCCUGUAAGCAGUGCACUCCUAAGGGCAGGGACCAGUUUAUAGUCAUCCUCCAGUGCCUGGCACGUAGCAGACCCAUGAGACAUGAGGGUGAAUGAGCAACUGGACUGACCAGCUGAGAUGGAAGUGCUGAUUCUCUCCAGCUGUGAACCUCUAACCUGUCUCCCCAGCCGGGUUGCAAGCUCCCUGGGAGCUAGGAAUAGAUCUUUUCUUCACACAGUCUCCAAGCAGGGCUGCACUCAGGACACACUCGUGUGCCCAGGCAAGUUGUUAAAGUAUUGAAAUACUUCUGUAUGGUUGCUGCCUGAGCUCCAGAGAGGCCCCCACCCCCAGAUGCCCAGCACCUCCCCCAGAGCCCCACCCCACCAUCUGGCUGCUCUAGGGUGACGCCUGACCUGGCAGGGCCUCUGAGACUCAGUCCAGCUCUGUGGCUGCAUCCUUCUGAUGGGCCGGUAUAUCGUCGUGACCUUGUUAGAUGUCUGAGUGAUGCACCAGCCUGAUGCAGGUGAUAGGGAUGCAACAGACGCUUGGAAAGCACUGCUUGUUAACUGAGAAUUGAUAUACAUGGGCUCCGGUCUCCCAGCGGACUGAAGGAGUUCUCAGCAAGAAAGUGGGUAGCGUCUGCUACCUGAUGCCAAGAAGAUAAGUUUAUGGGAUCAGUGGCUGGACAGCAGAAGGCCUUCCAAGGACACCUGCAGGUGAAGAAAAAUAUAGACUUGCUGUCCUUGCUGCCCCCAUCCCUGUCAAUCCAUCUGUUUGUCCAUCCAUCCAUUUGUCCAUCCAUCCACUGUUUGGGGACCACACUUCGGGCACAUCAGCUCCAGGAAGGCCAGAGAGCAGAUCAUGCAUCACAACGAGCGGUGCCGGAGGACGGGCAGGGGGAGCAGGAAGAGGUCAAACUUGGUGCCAGGGGGCCGGUCUGAGCCCCAGCCCCCUGAUCAGCUAGCCUGGCGACGGUACUCUCGGAGCCUGUGCUUCCUCUUCUGCGCAAGGGAUGGAGUUAAACCUACCUUCUAGCUUGCCGUGAGGCCCAGUGAAUGGAACAAAGGCUCUGAUCUGGGACCACAGUUGGGGCUUCCCCUCCUGAUAGACUCUUAUUUGGAUAAAUCAAGACUUUAAAAAUGACAGAGUGGUUACACAGCCCACAACUUCCUCAAAGACAACUCCCAGGACUGCGGCAUCAAAAUGCUUUUGCACAUGAACUUUUUUCUUCGGUUUCUCCUUUAUGGUGUUUCAGCAGGAUUAUUGCAAAAGCAUUCUCACUCCAGUCGGCUCCCUGCCCCCAGCCCUCCCCACUUGAAAGCGCCUUCCCCUCUGCAGCCAGAGGGCCCUUUCUGAAACUCCAACUGGGCCUUCACUCCCCUCCAUCGAACUCUUUUCUGUGGCUCUCCAGUACUCAGAGCAGGCUCUCAGCCCAAACUACACAGCAGAAUCACCUGGGAACUUUAAAAAUAUAUUGAUGCUCAUGCCCCAAUGAGAUCAAUUAAAUCAGAACGGGGGGUGGGGUGGGGGAGGAGGCGGACUUUAAUUAUUUUUAAAAGCUCCAGGUAAUUCAAAUAUAGAGCCACUGGUCUGAAGGGUAAAGAGAGAGAAAGCUCCUCUUUAUAGUAAAAUGCCAGCUAAUAAACUCAGAAGGAAUUAGAGAAAAUACCAUUUGCAACCACUGUUAGAAUAAUUCACACAAGCAAGUCAUCGGAUGCAAAAACCCUUGGAUAAGAGACUAUUGGGGUACAGAAUAUCACACAGUCCCCAAGUAAUCCCCCAUCCGCAGAGUGUGAGGGGGUUGUAACAGUCGUGCUCAGAACGUGGUCCCCGGGGCAGCAGCAGCACCACCUGGAGCAAAUUCUCCGGCCCACUCCGGACCUGAUGAAUCAGAAACUCCAGAGCUCCAGGUUCCAGAAAUGCUUUAAAACCCUCCAGGUGAUUCGAGUUUGAGAACCACUGCUCUUGAGGACUUUUGGGUUGGGCACCACGAUGGGCUGCUCAGACUCCCUUUGGAAGAAAGGAUUCAUCCCUGUUGCUGAGAGCACAGCCAGAAGACGCCUCCACUCUCUUCCCCGUGUGGCUGGGCUGGGCUGAAGAGACCUGCUGGCAGCGAGGGCUCACCCACCUCUCGGUGUCCCACAGUAGGUGUGGACCCUACCAGCUCCCUCCAGUACACGCCCCGUUUGCUGAUCUUCAUCCCGAGCACACUUCCCAGAGAGCCUAGCCUUGAGCAGCAGCCUUGGAGGGCUCGCUCUGGUCCUGAGGUGUCUUCAGCAGAGCCGUCUUCAUUCUCUCUGCCUGUAUCGCUCACUCACUGUGUGCAGAGCCUGGUGCUGAGAACUCCAGGUGCCUUAUUCUGUUCAGUUUUCAAGGCCACCCCAGGAUCUCCGUCUCACAGAUGGAAAACAGAGGCCCGGAGGGGUGAAUUAACAUACCAGUGUCACAGAGAAACAGCUGGGAUGAGAACCCAGCCCUCCAGCAUUUCAAGGAUCCCGGAAAAUGUUCACCACGGAGUUAGCUGUAAGGUCAAGGCGACGUGAGACAGAGAAGUGGGGAGCUCCAGAAUAGGUGAUCUCAAAGUACAACACUGCUAGCCGCCCCUUCGGACGUGCUCCUCCAGAGGCCGGCUGUGAACACACUUACUCUGAACCACGCUGAUGAUGCUCUUGCCUCAGAACCUUCAGGGACCUCAACUGGUUGUACAAAAUGAACCAGCAGGGGCUGCAUGUGUGCAGCUCACUCACAGGCAGGAGCGCUCACUAAAAGCAGAAACCAAGAAACGACAGCCUAGCGUCUUCUCAGGUAUGGGGUUUGACCUGGUGCAACAAGCACGUCACAAGGAGGAGUCUUCUAAAUAGAGACGAGGAUGCUUGUAAGUCUAAGAAUGAUGCCUCUUCCAAGCUACACGGCUGUACACGGCCGGGCUCCUCUUUGGAAUGAGCCUUCCUAGUCCAGACAAUGCCCUCGCCUGUCCUUGGGGAUGGACAGCCUCUGUUCUUUGAUGGCGGAUUUGACUUCUGAGCAGAGUCUGGUCACCUGGAGCUGGCUCAGAUGACUAAGGGAUGAUGAGGUUCUGUGAUGUUGUUGGGAGAUAAAAGCUAUGAAGGCAAAAAUAAUGGGACCGGUUUUUCUGUGUGGGCCACAGUUGGUGCUGAAGGCCCUCCCCAAAGAGGUGGUGACUUUACACUUGCGCCCGGUGAUGCGCGCGUCGUGGGAGUAGGCACACAGCCCCCUCGGGGCGCAGCGGAAGGCCGGCCUUCAUUUGGAUGCUUCAGCUCUGGGGACAGUUUUUAAAACCCUGACUCUCACAUUUAGAGCUCACUGGGAGCAACGGCAGGACUGUUUGUUCUGUCUCACCUAUCAAUUUAAAACAAAUUUAUAUUUGGUCCAAGGUUUCCAUUCUUUGGGGGCUGAAGGCAAGUGCCACCAUUUUUUUCUUCCUUCUUUUCACAUGCUUGCUUCCUCGCCCACCAGAGGUCUGCGUGUUUGUCCUUCAUGACGGCUGGAGGCAAAAGGUCCCAAGCACCAACAGUGUGCAGGCCGGUGGUCACUGGGGCCACAGGGCAGUGACUGCGGUGGGGGAGCUGCAGCACCAGACCCCAAGGACAUCUCUCUGGGAGGUCAGACACUGCCCCGGGGCCUGUCCCAGGGCCUGUCCCAGAGGUGCCCUAGAUCCGAUCCGUUCCCAGACCCCGGGCCAGGCGAGGGGGACCUAGGCCUCUGGGAUAGGGGUGUUGCAGUUCCCAUGGUAGAUCUUGACGUGGCCCUCACACCGGAAGUAGGCCUCGAAGACGUCACUGUAGCCGUGGUCCCUCCACCAGGUGCACAGCUGCCGGUUCCAGGUACAGUCCAGCACGUGGAAGAGCUCGGGGUGCUCCAUGCCGAUCAUGGUGAAGAAGUCCUGGUCCCCGAGGUGCCCCCGGAAGCGGUACUUGUCGGCCAGCUGCUGCACCUGCGCCGGCUCCAGCAGGCGGCCGUAGAGCGGGGACUGGCGCAUGGCCUCCAGGUUUACAGCUACAAAAACUGAGAGGUUCUGAGGUUCAGAAUCUCAUUGCACUGCCAGCAAGAGGCAGGGCCGGGACCUGGACCCAGGCCUCCUGCUCUUCCCACCACACUCGGCUUCCUCAGGAUGACAUACAUCAUCGUCUGCAUGGCUCAUGUUGUACAGACUUAGGAAGCACAGGUACCACACCCUAUGGGACGGGUGUUCUAAGUGACCACAUGCCACCCCACGCCCGAGGACACUGGUGCACAGAGAGGUGCAGGGACUUCGCCAAAGUCACAACCAGCCCAAGCCAGCAUCAGGCCCCAGUGUCCACUUCUGAAGAUUGCAACAAGGGGAGGAGGAGGUUUUAUUGCCAAGGCACUGGAUUCAGCCCUCAGAAAGGAGAGACCCAGGGGAAAGGAGACGGAAGUGGACAUCCCGAACUCCGUCAAGCCCACCGGUCCUUCUGUGCUCCCCACAGCUCCGUCUCCCAGGACCACCACUGCCUCCUCAGCAUCGCACACAGCAGGGCCUCAGGAAGCAUGAAGUGAUGACAAGGACUGAGGGAAAGGUCACUUCAGCUUAGGCUACGUGGCCUUCAGUGUUGUCUGGCACCAGGGACAGAAAAACGUCAGGACACAAAGUUGCUGCUGCCGAGAGAAAACCUGCUGCUUCUCUGAGCCCUGUAUCCAUCACUGGCAGGUCUAUGUGGGGUAGAGUGAGGAGUGGGGACCCACGAGGGGGUGCCCAGGUGUUUCAAAAGGGUUUGGAAGGGUUUCUACUCUUGAGCAAGCUGGGGAGCAGAGGGGCCAUUUGCAGUCCCAGGGUGCAUCCUUACCACCUUCAGCAGGGAGCUCCUCCAAGUCUUCCCUUUUACACCACAGUGACCUGCCACCAAACCUGCUGGGCUCAGGAAAGCGGGGCCGGAGGCAGAGAGAUGGACAACAUCCUUCCAGGCAGAGACCAUAACCCAGGUGGCUCUAGGGGAACUUGCUGCCUAGCACUGCGGCUCAAUCAGGAUGAAGAGGCAUUUUAUGACAUAGAGCCAGAAGGAGCCAGGUCUGGACAUCAGCACAUGAUGACUUGUAAGCAGAAGCAAAGGAGGGACAGGAAAUUGGAAAUGCAAGCUGCCUGGGGUGUCUGCUGGAGCAUCAACGCAGCCUGAAAAUGAACCACUGACUCUAAGUAGAAAAUUAUUGCCCUUGUUGAAAGCGUUCCUUCUACCCCCAAAUGAACUCAAAAACACAGAGCAGCUGCUCAGGGGAAUGGUGGGUUUCUCUGGCCUCCACAUCAGCUGGUUCUCCUGGAGGAACUGCCCCAGCCUUGGGGCAGAGAGGGGUGCAGGGACACAGAGGGGAUCAGCGCUCACGUAAAGGGCUACCAAGGUGAGAUCCCCAGUUCCUCACCCACCACAGAGCCCUCUGACAUCAUCUGCCUCCCUUCCCUCCCGGCAGCACGGGGACAGUACUGCCUGCAUUUUAACAGAAGGGAACAGAGGCCCUCAGUUGUCAGGGCUCUGACGCGAAUCCAGGGCUUCUGAUCUCCGAGAUCCCUUUCAUCUUUGACUGCCUUGGAUUCCACCACCGGCUAAUGUUCCAAGGAGCAGCUCUGGAAUUUCAAUUUUAUUUCUGAUUUGGCAGGCCACUGGUGCCUCACUGACUGGCAUGGGGAGGGCGUCAGACCGAGAGCCGCUCUGAGGUGGGCCAGGGCACCCCAGACCCUUGCCUUCCUCCCAGGACCUGGGCUGACCAUAUGGCAAUGGCAGGAGCUGAGGCUGCAGGGAACCUCUGUGUGAAGGAAGGAAUCUGGUUCUGAGUCCUAGAGCUUCCAGGACUUUCUCAGAUUAACCUCCAUGCCCACAGCCUAGCCAUGUUGCACCGCUUAAUCGUCUGUAUUUGGGCCUGUGCAGCCUUGUUCUCACCCUCCAGGGUCACCUAGAGGGGAUAAGGUUUCUUCCCUUUUAGAAACAACUUCAGCUGCGAACAAGCCCCCGUGCAGAUGGUCCACUGUAAAUACUGAGUCUUUCCAGAAGCUGACGAGGCUUGUUGGGGAAGCACAAUGAGGCACGUUCUUCUAGUUAUGGGUGAUAUGUUUUCUAAUUUUUUUUAACUUCUUUUUUGGGGAGGGGGAGGAGGUAGUUUGUUUAUUUUUAGAGGCAGUACUGGGGAUUGAACCCAGGCCCUUGUGCAUGCUAGGAAUGCGCUCUAACGCUUAAGUUAUACCCUCCCCCCUCUAAAUUUUUUAUAUCAAGUAUGUCUUAAUUAAUCGUCAUAAAAAGACUAUUAAAAAGUAGUGAAAUACAGACGUAGAAAACAAACUAAUGGUUACCAGGGUGGGGAAAGUGGGUGGGAAGAGAUAAAUUGGGAGUUCGAGAUUUGCAGAUAACUACCUACCAUACAUAAAACAGAUCAACAGCAAGUUCAUACUGUAUAGCACAGGGAACUAUAUUCAAUAGCUGUAGUAACCUAUAAUGAAGAAGAAUACGAAAAUGAUGGAAGGGGGUAGUUGAAGUAAUUUUGAAAAGCAAAGCCAUCUCCUCUCUCAGGUCUUUCCCCUGAUGAUCAUUGCCAAGGUCACUCCGCCAAGACUCUCAACCACAGACCCUGACCAGAGAACAGCGAGCUCACUUCUCCAGGGGAGAACCCGUGUUGCCAUGAACUGUCCCUCUCCCUGCCCCACCAACGAGCCUACACCCAAAUCACAGACCCUUCUGCCUCCUUAUUUCCUCAUGAGUUUUUUCUCCUGGGUUGGUCUUUCUCAGCUCCUUGGGCUCAGAGUUUUCCACUUUACUUCCAAGAGGAGAAGCAAGGAUGAGAACACACACUGGGCCCAGGCAGUCUUCACAACACCCCCCCCAGGAAGGUUCUAGAAGCCUGUGCCAGCCAACUCAGGCUGAGUUCAAGCUCUCAGGCCAAAAAGGCUCCAUCAUAGAUCUGGAUUCACAGGGACCACAUGUCGCCAUUCCUCAAGCUGAGGGCAGAGUCACUAAGAAGCCAGCAAGGCCGGCCUCCACCUGGAGGAACUGGAGGCUGUCUAAUCAGCAGAGGCCGGAAUCAGGAAACGCCACUUCCCUUAUGCCCGUGCUGUGUGCCAGGCCCAAUCAGCUAUUGUUUGACUUGGAGGGGACCCUGUUUUCUAGUCCUCUGUGAGGAAAGGCCAGGAGCGAAGAGCCAUGGUGGGAGCAGCCCAGUGUUCCAUCCAGCCCCGCCUUGCGGCCACCAGGGGCCAGCUGUGGGAGAUGUGGGGCUGAUUCAGGGCAGCGGCACUGUGUCUCGGUCCUGCUUCGGGCUGAGGCCGAAGUUCUGUGGGACGGGCGCUGACCCUGAAGUUGUCUAGGGGACAGUGCCCUGUGGUAUCAAACUGCAGAGGACACGGACCGCCUGGAAUUGUCCCCCCGCCGCCAAAGCUUUAAAUGGCCCAUUUCCCCAGGGUAUUUCUUACUGCCAAGAGUCACAACUGAGCCUUGUUAGGAUCUCUUGCUAGCAAGACCCAAAGCAGGCAGGUCUCUAACUCAGAGAGGGUGAGAAAUGUUCCCAAAGUCACACAGGUUAUCAGUGGUAGGACUGACAGGGGCUACUCAUCACCACUGUCAGCCAGCAGAGAGAGGCCCCGAAGUCCCUUCUGCCGUGUCUUUGUGAGACGUGCAGGGACGCCAGAGAGCACACUGAACUACGGGAAGAAUCAAUCAGCGAUCUCUCACAUAUUUAGCGGAGCACGGACUAGACCCAGCUGAUACGGAGGUGAGUAGAACAUCCCUGCCCUCAGGAAACUGACAGUGCAGGGGGGCCAAGACCCGGAUGUCAAUACACCAACAGUGUAUGAGGCUGUGAGAGGGGCGCUGCACCUGGAACCCGGAGACCUAGGCUAAGGACCAGCUGUGUGAGUCCUGGGCCUCUCAGGGCCUUGGCUUGUUCAGCAAGGAUGUGGGGAUGAGACUCCCCCGAGGGCCAUAGUGGACUCUAGGAGCAAAUGCAGGCACAAACCUGCCCAGCGCCAGGCCCUUUAGAGGGGCCCUGACUGUCACUGUGGGUGCCCAUUCCCAGAAGGCAGACCCCCUCCCUGCCCAGGCUCUUCUCAGGGUGUGGUGGUCUCCCAGGGACCAGCCCUCAUCCACCCACCAGCCAUCUACAGGUUUCUGUUUGACUUUGCUUCCUGCUUUAGAGAGUCUACAAUGAUGAAGGUGACCCACGUCAACUGUCUCAUUCCUAGAGCGGCACCAGCUAUAACCCAUCCACCUGUGUGGGACUCUCUCAAACCAGGCAGAGCAUUGAAAUCAUGUAGCAUGAACAUCCCUGCAUCCGGGCACUGUCAAGGCCUAGAGGCUGCUCCCCACGCCCUCAGGAGGCGGUGGGAUGCCCUUCUCUGAAGCAUCUGUCCUCUUUUCUGCCUCUCCCAUCAUUCCCUGGCCUGUCUGACAUCCCAGCCUCGUGGGCUGCCUCCCACACCUGCUGCCUUGGAGCUGGGAACAGACGGGUGAGGCAGGGAAUUCCUUGUCACUCAAUCUGACAAACAGCUCUGGAGCAGGCCAUGCCUAAACUGGGCGAGGCCCUGGAGGGCUGCAUGGAGGGGAACUGGGGGAGUGACAAGGGACAGAGGUGAUGGGGGAAGAGGCAUUGCAAGGUUCAACCAGGCAGAUGGAGCUCUGAGCGGCUUCAAGUCUAGGUUACUACAGGGAUGGUGGAGCCACUAACAGUUUGGCAAGGCUGGGAGGAGGAAGAGGGGAGUGACCCAUUCAAUCUUGAAUAGAUGCCAGAGAAAAGAGUGACAUGGAAAAGUUCUGCAGGUGGCUGGAUACAGGUCACAGGCAAAGCAGGCAGGAUGAAAUUCUAGAGGGUUCUGACACUUAGGGAAUGGAAGAAGAGGCACGAGGAAAGAUGUAGGAUGCUCUGUCUGCUGUGGGAACCCCUGAGGAGCCAUGCGGACCUCCAGCCCGACCUGCAGGCCCAUUGUGCCCAUGCAAACCCCUUGUCCCCCAGCCCUGUGACCCAGGUGCCCAAAGUGCCCCAGCCUUCCUCCCCUACCCCCUCAUCCCCAUCCAAUCCAGUGGCGUCCAGACAUUCUCUCCCCAGAUGUUGCCCUCCAAACCCUCUAACUGAUACCAGCUGACCAUUCUCUGCCUCCCAUUCAAGCAAACACUGAUCUGGACAGAAUGACACCUCGGUCCCUCCCCAGGCAGAGACCAAUCCCAAUGCCACUGCCCCAAACCCCAGGGAUGCCCCUGCCUCCCCGCUGCACACCCUUCCAGAGCUGUCCUCCCUCCUCCACCGCAGCCUCCACCAGCAGUCUAGCUGCCUCCUCACCUCCUUGCUCAUCACCUCUGCCCACCACCUAAGCCAUCUUCUCUGCUCCAUUCCUAAGGUACCCUCAAUAAUUUCAAUGGCCGUGGUGACGGCCUCACCUCGGCCUCAGGGUUUUCUGCAAGCCCCACUUGAGCUACCGACUCAGCUCCCCUCCGUGCACCUUGCCACCACAAGGCGUUCUGCUCCAGGGACAGGGAGCCGACAGAGAUGCCCUCAGACCCCUGCACCCUGCCCUCACCCCCAGGGAACCUGCCCGUCGGCCCCUUGGGAGUCUCCGGGGCCCACCUCUCCUAUUCUCUAGGCUAUCAAUCUCCCCUGGCUCCCCACCCAGCCUAAGCUGCCCCCAGCAGCUCGCCACAUGCCUGGAAUGUAACAGUGUUGAAAACGGUUGGGGAUGAAGACUCAAAAAUGCUGCAGGAGGUACCCGAGACCAUUGAGCAGUGAGUGAUGGAGACUAAGAGGUGGGACUCCUGCCCUGGGACAGAGGCAGAGAAGGCAGGUGCACCGGCAGCAAAGAAAGGGCAGAGGGAAAAAUAUUUGCUCAGAGGGAAGCUGAGUGUGUCCACACGCCAAGGGAAAGGGGUGUGGAGGCCAGAAUGAAGAGAAAAGACGCACAGAGUGAACGGCAGGGUGGCACUCUGAGGAAUGAUAAUCAUGACAAUGGCUAAUAUUUAGUGAGUGCUUACUAUGUGCCAGGCCUUGUUUUAAGUCCUCAAAUGUAUGAAACUUGUUUAAUGUUUUAAUAAACAAAUGAGGUAAGGACUCAAAUCUCCAUUUAAUAGGAAGAUAUAAAACAUAUGCCCAAGGUCAGAGGCGUCCAGGCAGGAGGGUCUGCCAAGAAGAGGGAAAUCCUGGGACACAUCUGAGACUGGAGGAGGGACAGAAGUAAGGGACAGCUCUGAGUGGGGAGUUAGGGAUAUUGGGAAAGCUCAUUUUUGGUGAACUCAAAAUCUUGGGAAGGUACGAGGUGAAGUCAUCCAGGGAAACAGAGGGGCUGGGGUGCAAAGAAGGCCUUGAGAAAGAGGAAUCGUUUAUGAGGGCACCUGGGAAACGCAGUAAGGAAUCAAUGAAAGAUGAAUGAAAGAAUCUGCCUGAGCGCUGAGGGCGUGAGUGCAGUCAGGGAGCCCAGGAGUGAUAACCGGAAAGCAUCUUACUCAUUUUUUUGUCUUGAGAGCCUGGUGUGGGCAUUUGAUUCACAGCAGUCUGCUGAGAACUGUUACGUUUCAAAUGAAUGUUUGCAUAAAUGGAUUAAAGAAUCAAUGAACAAAGGAAUAAGAAACUGUAAAAGCAAAUGGUGGAAAUUUAAAAGUGGAGAAUGUUGAAUGAAGGCAGUGGAACAACAGUUCAAAAGGUAGUUGGGGGAGAGUGUGCCCUGGGCCCUGUGGGCUGGAGCCAUGAGGGGUCUUCACUGGAGGGAGCCAGGUCCCCCUCAGGAUGAGGAUGGAGAAGAGGAGAGAGAAAAGUUGGUCCCCUUGAGACAGGAAGGAAGGGGGUAGGGCACAGCCAUUAAAGGAGUGACAGCAACGAGCCCAAGAUGGUGGAAAAGUAAACUCCCAUAGACCCUGAGGUCCAAGAUGGCGGGAGAUUCAACCUCCAGUGGACCUUGAGCUUCAUUAUACACAUUUCAAUGUACUAGCAUGGUUAAUGACACUCCCACAGGUGCCAAGACACUUUGAGGCUGACCGUGAAAGGUCAAAAAAAGGGCGGUGGCCCAGUUCCUGGGAAUCCCCACCCCUUCCCUGAAGUAGUUGGAAUAAUCCUCCUACUCAUUAGCAUAUGAAAUUCCUGAGCCCAUAGAACCUAACAACCUCACACCUUGUGGUCACUGUCUCUCUUGCCUUCUGAGACAGCCCACACUCUGUCUAAGGAGUGUGUAUCUGUUUUCACUCUAACAGCCCCCCACCCCACCUCGUGGCCUCUCUGGCCUUCUGAGAUGGCCUAUACUCGGUCUAUGGGGUGUGCAU